UUGACGCAUUGUCCGGUCAGGUUGUGGGACUUUCUGUGACCCAAAGUGACGGACGUCCGGGGUCUACCGGUUCAUUUACGGUGCGUCAGCC
rnacentral:tRNA from 1 species